rnacentral:rRNA from 1 species
GAUGCACGCUGGCGGCGCGCCUAAUACAUGCAAGUCGAGCGAAUGGAUUAAGAGCUUGCUCUUAUGAAGUUAGCGGCGGACGGGUGAGUAACACGUGGGUAACCUGCCCAUAAGACUGGGAUAACUCCGGGAAACCGGGGCUAAUACCGGAUAACAUUUUGAACCGCAUGGUUCGAAAUUGAAAGGCGGCUUCGGCUGUCACUUAUGGAUGGACCCGCGUCGCAUUAGCUAGUUGGUGAGGUAACGGCUCACCAAGGCAACGAUGCGUAGCCGACCUGAGAGGGUGGUCGGCCACACUGGGACUGAGACACGGCCCAGACUCCUACGGGAGGCAGCAGUAGGGAAUCUUCCGCAAUGGACGAAAGUCUGACGGAGCAACGCCGCGUGAGUGAUGAAGGCUUUCGGGUCGUAAAACUCUGUUGUUAGGGAAGAACAAGUGCUAGUUGAAUAAGCUGGCACCUUGACGGUACCUAACCAGAAAGCCACGGCCAACUACGUGCCAGCAGCCGCCGUAA